rnacentral:rRNA from 1 species
CCUACGGGUGGCAGCAGUGAGGAAUAUUGGUCAAUGGCCGAGAGGCUGAACCAGCCAAGUCGCGUGAGGGAAGACGGCCCUACGGGUUGUAAACUGCUUUUGUACGAGGGUAAACGCAGAUACGCGUAUCUGUCUGAAAGUAUCGUACGAAUAAGGAUCGGCUAACUCCGUGCCAGCAGCCGCGGUAAUACGGAGGAUUCAAGCGUUAUCCGGAUUUAUUGGGUUUAAAGGGUGCGCAGGCGGAAUGUCAAGUCAGCGGUAAAAUUUCGGGGCUCAACCCCGUCGUGCCGUUGAAACUGGCGUUCUUGAGUGAGCGAGAAGUAUGCGGAAUGCGUGGUGUAGCGGUGAAAUGCAUAGAUAUCACGCAGAACUCCGAUUGCGAAGGCAGCAUACCGGCGCUCAACUGACGCUCAUGCACGAAAGCGUGGGUAUCGAACAGGAUUAGAUACCCGAGUAGUC